UACGAAGGGGGCUAGCGUUGCUCGGAAUCACUGGGCGUAAAGCGCACGUAGGCGGAUUGCUAAGUCAGGGGUGAAAUCCCAGAGCUCAACUCUGGAACUGCCUUUGAUACUGGGUAUCUCGAGUAUGGAAGAGGUGAGUGGAAUUCCGAGUGUAGAGGUGAAAUUCGUAGAUAUUCGGAGGAACACCAGUGGCGAAGGCGGCUCACUGGUCCAUUACUGACGCUGAGGCGCGAAAGCGUGGGUAGCAAACAGG
rnacentral:rRNA from 1 species